AUGUGGAUUGCUGUUUGCCCGACCCUAGGACUGGACCUGACUUUGAAUGCUGACUCUGCCUCCAGGCAAGUACACUUCAGAGACUCUUCUGGUUGGCUGGCCUCCCAUUCCACUAAGCUCUGCACUUGGUUGCUUAGCAACGAGACAAUGACACCACUCUCCUACACUAGAGCAGGGGUGGAGAACCUCUGGACAGUGGGCCAAAUCUGACCCCCCCCCGGCACUUGGCUCAUGAGGUAGCUUUCCCCAAACUAUACCCGCCUGCUCCAAACCUGAUGUCAUAAUGCAAUGUUGAAUGAGGGCACAGGUAGGAACCUGGCUGUUUUCCCUACAGGAAGCAGGAUUGAAUCCCUCAUCUUAUCUGCUGAUGGGUGUAUGUGGGAGUUAAGAAGUCCUGUUUGAUGUCUGUCUCCCCCCCCCCCCACUCCCACAGGCCAAUUUCAUCAGGUGAGUGGUCAAAGUUGGUGCACAGGGUGGUGGAUAUAAAGAUCUGGUCUGCUAGGCCUGAAAGGUCCCCCAGUUUUGCACUAGAGAUAUGGUGCCAGUCUGGGUAGACAAGACAUGGACCAAUGGCUUGAGCCGGUGUGGUGUAGUGGUUAAGAGCAGUAGACUUGUAAUCUGGUGAACCGGGUUCACGUCUCCGCUCCUCCACAUGCAGCUGCUGGGUGACCGUGGGCCAGUCACACUUCUUUGAAGUCUCUCAGCCCCACUCACCUCACAGAGUGUUUGUUGUGAGGGAGGAAGGGAAAGCAGAACGUUAGCUGCUUUGAGACUCCUUCAGGUAGUGAUAAAGCGGGAUAUCAAAUCCAAACUCUCCUCCUCCUCCUCCUCCUCCUCCUCCUUGACUGGUAUAGAAUUAUAGAACUGUAGAGUUGGGAGGGACCCCAAGAGUUAUCUAGUCCAACCCCCUGCAAUGCAGGAAUCUCAGCUAAAGCAUCCAUGACAGCUAUCCAACCUCUGCUUAAAAGCUUUCAAGGAAAGAGAGUCCACAACCUCCUGAGGGAGACCAUGGAAAGCAGCUCCUGUGUUCCUCUUUUUUUUUUUUUUUUUUAAUAAUAUUUAUUGAGAUUUCAAAAGAAAACAGAAAAAAUACAAAAAUUACACAAAAACAAAAAAUAAGAAAUACAAAAACUUACACACAAUAUGAAAAAGAUACAAAAGUAAAAAAAAUAAAAAUAUGAAAAAGUAAGAAAUACAGAAGAAAAAUAAUAGUAAAGAAGAAAAAACAUUAGACCUCCUCCUCCUCCCUUCCUUUGUAUUCUAGUUAUUAAUUAUCCCAGCAAAUCCUUUCCAUUUUUCUAUUAUAUAAUAGACCUUACAAUUUAAAAUUUAAAUCUUAAUUAUACCAACUUCUUAUAUUCAUAAUGUUCUUUCACAAAUCCUUUCCUUCUAUUAUAAAAUAAACUUUAAAAUUUAAAAUUUAGAUCUUGACUUUACCCACUUCUUAUAUUCAUAAUGUUCUUUCAUAAUUCUUUAUACAUUUUUGCUAAAGCCAGGUAAAUUCUUCCAACAUUUUCCUAUCAUUCAUUUUUCUCUCAUUCUAUCAUUCAUCAGCUUUAUAAAACAUUCUAUUAAUUAAAAAAAAAAAAAAAAAAAAAGAGAGAAAGAAGCAUAUAAUCAAGUCCAAUCUUAAUCCAACGUCCCUUCCUCCUGGUUUCGGGAUUUGUCAGUCCUUAUUCAUCAAACUAACCCGGUGACCUUAUGUCCGAGGCCCUCAAGUCACUUCCAUGGCCCUUCCGCAGCUUUUCUUCAUAUUUGUGGCUGUAGUCACUUGCUCGUAGUAGCUCCAACUUAAUAGUGCUUUUAACCCUUCUCAUCAGAUCAGAUCCUUUUCCCUGUUCAUCGCUGCAUUCCAUGUAGUAUUUAAGAGCAUACUUCAAGGGCCCCCCAAAUUUGUGGACCCCCACAUUUCCAGACAUGUCGCAGCCUGUUACUGAAUUUAAAAAGUCCAAAUAUCCCAACAUAGGGGGGUCAAUCCAGCCCCCCAUUUCGAAACCACACCGAACUUUCCCUUCCCAUAUCUGAUUUUUCCCAGAUUCCAUUAUCAAGUCCGAAGGAUCAAGCUCCUGUUGAGACUGUUCUGUCAAGCCACACUCCUGAUUUAAUGCCACAAACCCCUGUUCUGUCAAAACACACUCCUGGUUUGAAUCCUGGAUAGACUCCACAUCUAUUCCCACAGUUUGAUCAACGCCUUCCACUGCCAGUCCGAGAUUUCCAGUCGACUUGGCCAUCUGGUUCACCUUAUCAUGUAGUUCUUCCAGUAGAAUAUUUGUUUCUUUGAGCAGGCAAACCACAGCUUCUGAAAACAUUGUUGCACUCUCCCACGGUUCUUUGUAACAACUGUCAAGUCCUUGGCAUUAGUUACAGUUUCUAAAGCUCCCCCUAAGGGUAAGACUUAUAUUUGUUUCUGAUACAUUUCCAUGUUACUUAAAAUCCUUUAUCCUUAUAUAUUCGUUUAAAGUGUGAAAGGGAACAAUAGAGUCACAAAAAUUCUCUUCUUUUAACCAUCUGACACACACAGAUACCUUGAUUUGUUCACGUCAGUCCUGACUUCCCGCUCCAGGAUCAGGACGAAAAUAACUUCCUUUUACUGCUUCAAAUAGUCCAAAAAAAUAUUCCCAAUUUAAAAUGUUGGAUUCCACUCUUUUAAAAGCAAUUUUCAAAGCUCUAGUACAAUUUGACUUUGCUUUGUUAUGUUUACAAAAGAACGGAAGGGUGACUUCCUGUUUAGCCCUUACCGCUCCGUACCAAAUUCAAUCAAUUUUUCUUUCUUUUUUUUAUAGUCCAAUUCUGCCCUUUUCACUAAUCUUCCUUUAGUAUCCCAAUUUGUCCAAAUUCUGGGUACUCACGGAUAUUUGUUUUAAAGUCCGAAUUGUCCAGGAAAAAAGGCAGCGCUCUCCGGCAACAGCUACGCGGCUUCACUCCACAAAAGAAGCAGACGACUCACAGCACAGCGCCUUCACUUCCCCGCUCUGUUCCGGAGCCCGUUGCCGGGUUCCUUUGCAGACCGGGGGGGCGCAAACAGUGCCCGCCGAGUCCCAGGGUCACAGGCUUCACCCGCCUGUGGUUUGAAGGGUCCCCGCUGCGCCGAAGCGGUUUUAGACCCGAUUUCUGUGGAGCGAUCUCCCUCUGGGUUAGAGGGAUUCCGCCAUUGCCGUUGGCGCCACCUCCGGAAGUCCUGUGUUCCUCUUUAAUGCUGUUUGGGAACAGAUUUUCAAGGCAGGCCCAUUUCAAACUGAGCAAGGCAAAGGUUGUGGCAACACUGGCUGUGCCCAUUGAUUCAAUACCGCAGAAGUUGAGAUGCAAGCCUAAUGAGGGCAGGGUUUUGAGAAAAGGCUCUGUUGCUGUUCACAUUUCAGGAAAGGAGGUUAAAGCGCCUUUCAUCUUUGCUGCAGCUUAGGAGAAAGUGACUGAGAUAUGUGUGGGUCUUUGCAGGAUCAGAAAUCCCACUGGAAAGCUUUUGCGAGCCAUCUUUUCUCUGUAGGCUUGUCCAUCUAUAUUGCUUUUGGAUGCGGUCCUAAGGGGGGAAAAGGGGAAUAUGGCUUACUUCAGUAUGCAAUGUGAGAAAAGGCUCCUGCCUCUCCUUUUGAAUGGCAGUCCCAAGUAAUGCAAACCUUGAUGCAGCACACGUCUAAGCUCUUUGGAGUACCAUUAUUUUCAACCUGAGAGUUAACUACAUGCACAAAUAUCUUCUGCCGAAAGCUGUGGCACUUUUAAGUGCCUAACUUUGGAUCAUGUUGCUGGUUAAAUUAUUUCACUUGAUUCUUGAAGCAACAGUAAAUAUAUGUGUGAUCAGACACUGAUUUUCACUUUUUUGGGGGGGGGGAGGUUGCAGUGAGCUGGGGGGGGCAGAUGCCAGUGGUGGUCUGGGUCAGUGGGUGGAGCAACGAAUGUAAAUUUUAACCCCUUACUGUAGGCUAAUUUUCACACCCACCUGCUCUUUCCCCCAGGCAUGGUCAGAGUCCAAUGGAAGACUUGAAGUAGCCUAAAUACGCAAGGAACCAGCAGCACCAGUGAGGAACCUGCCUUGGGGAUAUGUGGUGUGGCUUGGGAGGGUGUGUGCCCAAGAGUCCCAAGGAGAAAGUAGAGAUCUUUGGAGGGCUUGAAUUCAUUCCCUGAGAUCCCCACCCCUUCUUUAAUGAAUGCUUCCACCAUAAUGUCUUUCAGAAUCCCCCCUUUUUCUUCCGGCUAUAGAUUUCACAGGCUGAUGAGUCAGUUACACCAACUUCAAUCCCCAUUGCUAUGAUAUAAUUGCACACAGACACAGGGACAGAACCUUCAUCUGUAAAAUAGAAGAGAUGCCUAAAGCGGCUUUCAUAUGUACCCCAAUAAUCUCAUGGCGAGACACAAGGAUUUGGUCGUCUGCAGCUGUUUGCCUCUGCUAUUUAGGUCCACACCAACUUCCUCUACCCUGACUACCCUUGAUAAGUAUGAAAAGGAAAUUAAACCUAUAGCUGGAUUGCUGCUCAGAUGGCCCCAUCGCAUCAAAGCGAGCACACAGCUUAGCUGGCUGUCAGAAUGCCUCCUGACUCCAUUAUUCUGCUAUUAUAACUUUUCAAGGGUACUUGCAAGAUCGAGCCUCAUAUGGUAACUGGUGUGAGUCGAAUUCCAUCAGGAGAAAGCUGCUGUUCUGUGCAGAAAGGGGUCGGGGGAAUUACGUCCUUAUCUGCAUGAUUUUUCAGUUACAUUAACACAAGGACAGCAGCAAAUUCGUUCCUCACAAUUCCCUGUACUCUCCGAUGCGGUCAUUAAAAUCCCCAUUCAGAGAGCUUGAGUCUCAACAUGUUUCAACAUACCCCAAAC
rnacentral:lncRNA from 1 species